GGCACCCUCCUCUGGUCAACUCUUAGGGGAUGAGGAGCGGGAGCCGACUCCUACUCCCGCAAUCCCAGAGGAGGGU
rnacentral:scRNA from 1 species